GCGCUACGCCUCGACCUAAUUAUGUCAUGGGUUGAGCGCCACCCCUUAUGGGAGACUUUCAAAAUACUUUGCCUUGACCUGUUAUGAGAUCCGCACAAGAAGGAAGAAUCUUCAGAUGCUAAAGUUUGCGACAAGAGCACUUUUUUGACUCAAACGGGAGGUCGAUGCACUCCAGUUCGGCAGUCAGAGAUUGCAAAUUCUUAAGAGAUGCUUCGGCUAAACUCGCGCAAUUAUUGCAAUUGUAAUGUUGCUCGAGUUCUAGAGAACCGAAGUUGUUCUAAGUGCACCUCUACUGAGGGUUCUAGGACUUCGACUCGGUCACUUUUACCCUGAUCGUGGAGGAAGCAGGAGUGGUCGAAGGACCGUUUUGGAAUCGUUUUUAGGAAAGCUCGCGGCUAGGUAGAGUUAGGAGUAGGGUAGUGGCGGAACCGUUUGAAACCCUGAUACUCCAGGUGGCGACCGGCAUCAUCCGUAGCAGAGCGACCACUCCAACCGACAACCCAGCGCUUCUGGACUCCAUCAAGGGGUCAAUGUUCCGGGGUGAACCCCCAAGCAGCUCGUCCGUCAACAUACGAGCUGGGCGGCGUCCGUCAACACACGCCGCGGUCGAACCCUCGACCACCAACCGACCGAACCGGGACGGCCUCGUGGAGGCCUAGGUACACCGCCAAGUUCCCGCGCGCAUCCGCGCCGUCGUCGCAACCGACGCCAACAUCGCAGCAUCGUAGCUGCACACCCGUGCGACCCCGCACACCGGAAGUGAUGCCGAACGCACGCCGAUAGUGUCAACCCGUCUGCUGUUAGCCGCCGGUGGAACCAUCUCGCCGUAGCCGAAGCUGUAAGCGCGCCACCACCUGAUCGCCGGAUCGCCAACCAGCACACGUAAAUCCAUGGUCGUGUAAGUACUUUUUCCCCCGACAUGCGCAUGAUCGAUCGUUGGCCAGUUCUUUUUCCGCCAACCCCGUGGGCAACAUAAGCCACCCCCAUAUUAUGUUGCGUGAUCGCAAAACCCCCCAGUGAAUUAUAUUAUAGCGAUCCCCGAAUGAAUUUCGCCCCCCAAGCCAACGCACACUACUAGCCAAGCAGUGCACUGCAAAUGAACAGGUAGAGAGACAGAAAAACUCGAGUGGUACCGAGGUACCGUGUAGGACUAGCAUGCUAAAGAUCUGCGGAUCGAAUCUCGUAGGGCCCGAAGUAUUUUUUUGUAUUGAAUAAAUUAUGCGAACCUGAAUAUACGAUUUUUAUGAGUUUCUGGAGUAAA